AUGUCAAUGGAAACAUCCUUUCUAGUUGUAGAAAAGAUAAGAGCUCAGCUCUCCCUGAGAAGUUUCUGGGGCUCCACCCCUGAGGGUAAGAACGCUUGCUUGGCUAGAAAGCAGCCACACCCACCUGGCCCAGCAGCCACACCCACCUGGCCCAGCUGGAAAGCCGGUGAGGACUCAGUAUACCCAUUCAGACCUUUUCUUUCUGUUGGAAGGUCAAAAAGGAACUGUCUGGACUCUCAUCACCGCCCUUGGGUCCUUCAGUACGCCAUCUCCUGUGGUCCUGCGGCAGAGCCCUUUAUAAUCUCAGGAGGUAAAUCUGACAGGCCUGGCCCCUUAGAGAAGGAACAGUUACCUCCAUUGCAUAACUCAGGGUGUCUAAGGGGUGGAAGGGAAUCUUGGGAUUAUUUGUGCAGAAAGGAAGUCACACCAGGGACCCAGAGCUCUGGAGAUGGUAACCUGAAGGCCAAGCCUAUCUUCUUCCUCCUCACUGUAUCACCCCUGCACAAAUUCUGGCCAUUGGCCAGGAACCCAGGCAGGCAAGGACUCGAGGUCCACAGGAGACUAGAAAACUGAGUCUGAUUUAAGGGGAGAGGUUAAAUUUGCAAUGCCCCCAGUUAGAACAGCUCUCCCACCCCCUGGUCCCUGGGUGACAGGCAGGUUUAGAACCUGUUUUUAGUCAUGCCACAUGGCAGAGUGAAGUCAUUAGCCACCCUACAGCCCCUCCUGCCCUUUACCCUCACCUCCAGUGCUUCUUCCAAGGCCACAUAAACUCCCAAGUGGAGUCCCAGGACAAGAAACAGCUAGGUGCUGGGUGCAAAGAUCUGCCCUCAACUUUCCACACUCUCCAUCAGCGCCAUGGCUACUCAAAGUGACAUCAGCGGUGUUAAGAAUUUUGCUACCACCAGGUGCUUGUGGUGCAGGCCUUUAAUCCCAGCACUCAGGAGGCAGAGGCAGGUGGAUCUCUGGGAGCUUGAGGGCAGCCUGGUCUACAGAGCGAGAUCCAGGACAACCAGGGCUACACAGAGAAACCCUGUCUCAAAAAUUCAAAACUAACACAAACCAAAACAAACCAAAAAAGAAUUCUUCACUUUGCUGUGUGACUAGGGGUCAAGUUGCCUAGGUUUCCUGUGCCUCAACUGCUUCUCUCCUGGGAUAGGAAUAAGGGAAAAACUGCUCCCUAGAAUGUCUGGGGAAUUCAAAGACAGUGUAUUCAAAGUGAUGAGUAUACCACCUGGUGUCAACUGAAAACGUGUGAUCACAGUUAUUUCCAAGACUCCUAAGAAGUCCUCCUGGAAGCCUCCCCCUUUCCCAGAGAGGGGUGGGGCUAGGAGCUGCCUCCCACCGGGUACCAAGAAUGUUCCAUACCUUUGUUCACUCAUCUUUACCUCAACCCUGUAAAGGCUGGCCCUUUUAUGUCCCCAUUUUACAGAUGUGGAUGCUAAGGAACAAGGGGUAUUGGGUCCAGAGUUACUGAUUAAGAACAUUCAGGGUCAAGUUUCAAACUCAAGCCGGCUGGGUUUUGUUUUGUGCAAGACAUUGUGCUUCACCCACAGUGACAACCCCUUUCCUGGCC
rnacentral:lncRNA from 1 species